AAUAGUACUCUUCUGUGUAGUAAUAUUGUAGUUCUAAAAAUAGAAUACCAAAAAUAGACAAUUCUUCUUUCUGUUUAGCAAUACACCAUAGAUCUAAAGCCUGUCACCGUCUGUAUUAUCUGUAAGUAAAAUUAACGUACUGAGCAAUUGAAUACAAUGAAUAACACAAACUUCAGUUUAAUGAAGUUAUUCAAAGCAAAAUAUUUGUUUCAUCCAUUUUGCAUGAUUUGUCAUUUGUGAUGACACGUUUUUUAAAUGUUCGAAUCACAGACUAGAAGGAAAUCUUUUUUUUUCAGAAGUCCGCGGAAAAUGUAGAUAAGAGUGAAGUCCUCAGAAAAUGUAGAUGAGAAUGGAAUUGUAAGACAAUCAAAGAAAAUGAAAAAAAGAACAAGAACAGCUUAACUGCAAGAAAAGAUCACAACUGUAUCUCACUUCAGUUCCAGGUGAUGUUGACUAUCAAGUUAAAUGCUUUAACCGAGGCUCCUGUCGAUAACGAAUCAACCAAAAAGGCUGUUUUCCGAAAAAUGAAAGGGACAUCUGCCCCAAAAAAGGAUGACAAUGAGAAAACUAAAGAAUUUAUUGGCCAUGUUAUAGGCGAACUAAAUAAAACAAAUGUUAACAAGGCAAUUCAUGGGAAAGUUUUGAGGCCUUUUAGAAGACAAUAGAGACAAUGCUGCCAGACGAUUCAAGUGAACGACAAGAAGAACAGGAUUGUGACAAAUUUAAACUUACUUACUCAUUAAACAUAGUUACAUUUACAUGGAGUAAGAUUAUUGAGUCCUCUACUCUGUUAUUGGCAUACCCACCAAGGAAAUGGUAUUUCAUGCCCAGGAAAAACCUGAAAAUGACAAAAUGUUAUUGAGUUUGAAUUUAUGAUUUAUGUUUGAAGGAACAAAUAGAAAGUACAUAAAAUUUUAAUGAUUAUACAUUAUAUUUUUUGUUUUUAAUAAUGUUUUCAUAC